CCUACGUGGAGCAGCAGUGAGGAAUAUUGGUCAAUGGACGGAAGUCUGAACCAGCCAUGCCGCGUGCAGGAAGACGGCUCUAUGAGUUGUAAACUGCUUUUGUACAAGGGUAAACCUGAAUACGGGGAGGCAGCUGAAAGUACGGUACGAAUAAGGAUCGGCUAACUCCGUGCCAGCAGCCGCGGUAAUACGGAGGAUCCAAGCGUUAUCCGGAUUUAUUGGGUUUAAAGGGUGCGUAGGCGGAUUGAUAAGUUAGAGGUGAAAUGUCCGAGCUUAACUCGGGAACUGCCUCUCCUACUGGUGUUCUAGAGCGUCGAUGCGGUAGGCGGAAUGUAUGUUGUAGCGGU
rnacentral:rRNA from 1 species